rnacentral:rRNA from 1 species
GACGAACGCUGGCGGCGUGCUUAACACAUGCAAGUCGAACGAUGAAGCCGGAGCUUGCUCUGGUGAAUUAGUGGCGAACGGGUGAGUAACACGUGAGUAACCUGCCCUUGACUCUGGGAUAACUGCGGGAAACUGUAGCUAAUACCGGAUACGACCCUCGGAGGCAUCUCCUGGGGGUGGAAAGAAUUUCGGUCAAGGAUGGACUCGCGGCCUAUCAGCUAGUUGGUGAGGUAAAGGCUCACCAAGGCGACGACGGGUAGCCGGCCUGGGAGGGUGACCGGCCACACUAGGACUGAGACACGGCCCAGACUCCUACGGGAGGCAGCAGUGGGGAAUAUUGCACAAUGGGCGCAAGCCUGAUGCAGCAACGCCGCGUGAGGGAUGACGGCCUUCGGGUUGUAAACCUCUUUUAGCAGGGAAGAAGCGAAAGUGACGGUGCCUGCAGAAAAAGCACCGGCUAACUACGUGCCAGCCGCCGCCGUAA